rnacentral:tRNA from 1 species
CCGGUCGUGAUGUAGUGGUAGCCUGGGGCCGUGCCAAGGCUCGAGCGCGGGUUCGAUUCCCGCCGUCCGGACCA